AGGGCGUAUGGUGGAUGCCUUGGCAGACAGGACCGAUGAAGGACGUUUGAGGCUGCGAUAUGCCUCGGGGAGCCGCCAACAGGGCUUUGAUCCGAGGAUUUCCGAAUGGGGGAACCCACCGACCGUCAUGGGUCGGUACCGGCUUCGGCCGGGGGGUACGCAGGGAAGUGAAACAUCUCAGUACCUGCAGGAAAGGAUAUUCCGUGAGUAGUGGCGAGCGAAAGCGGAUGAUGGCCAAACCUUGCGCGUGUGAUACCCGUCGGGGGUUGCGCGCGGGGUGUUGCGGGAUCGCGUGCGCCGGCUCCGACGGGCCGGCCGGCAGUUGCAGAAAACCAUGUGUCAGGGGAACCGGGUUGAAUACCGGGCCGCAGAGGGUGAGGGCCCCGUACCUGAACGCGCAUGGUCUGCCGAUCGCGUCUCCCAAGUAGCACGGGUCCCGUGGAACCCCGUGCGAAUCCGCCCAGACCGUUGGGUAAGCCUGAAUAUUCCUGUCUGACCGAUAGCGAACGAGUACCGUGAGGGAAAGGUGAAAAGUACCCCGGGAGGGGAGUGAAACAGUCUCUGAAACCGUGCGCCUACAAUCCGUCGGAGCCCUUUUGUGGGGUGACGGCGUGCCUAUCGAAAAAUGAGUCUGCGAGUCAGUGGCAUGUGGCGAGCAUAACCCGUGUGGGGUAUGCGUAGCGAAGGCGAGUCUUAAAAGGCGUUUAAAGUCGCGUGUCCUGGACCCGAAGCGGGAUGAUCUAGCCCUGAGCAGGUUGAAGCGCGGGUAAGACCGCGUGGAGGACCGAACCCACCUGGGUUGAAAACCGGGGGGAUGACUUGGGGCUAGGGGUGAAAGGCCAAUCAAAUUCCGUGAUAGCUGGUUCUCUCCGAAAUGCAUUUGGGUGCAGCGUCGGGUCAUUACGUCCCGGGGGUAGAGCUACUGGAUGCUUGCGGGCCCGUAUCGGGUACCAACAGCAACCAAACUCCGAAUACCGGUGACGCGUAUCCCGGCAGUGAGUCGGCGGGGGAUAAGCUUCGUCGUCGAAAGGGAAACAGCCCAGACCGUCGUCUAAGGUCCCGAAGCGUGUGCUAAGUGGGAAAGGAUGUGGAGUCGCAUAGACAGCCAGGAGGUUGGCUCAGAAGCAGCCACCCUUGAAAGAGUGCGUAACAGCUCACUGGUCUAGUGGUUCCGCGCCGACAAUGUAGCGGGGCUCAAGCACACCACCGAAGACGCGGCAGUAUUUUGUACUGGGUAGGAGAGCGUCCCAUGAGGGGCGAAGCGGCCGUGUGAACGCGCCGUGGACUUCAUGGGAGUGAGAAUGCAGACAUGAGUAGCGAGAGACGGGUGAAGAUCCCGUCCGCUGGAUGACCAAGGGUUCCAGGGCCACGUUCAUCGUCCCUGGGUGAGUCGGGUCCUAAGGCGAGGCCGACAGGCGUAGUCGAAUGGAUGAACGGGUCGAUAUUCCCGUACCGGCUUUCAGCCGCCAAAACCGAGGCUUGGAGUACUAACCUCCGGGUCCGGGCUUACUGCUCCUUCGGGGGCGGGAUGCCUUGGCCUGUUGGGACCGAUCCUUGUAGUAGGUCAGCGCAGGAGUGACGCAGAAGGGUAGCCGGCCGCGGAGGUGGUCUUCCGUGGUCAAGCACGCAGGGCGUGGGACAGGCAAAUCCGUCCCGCAUGGGUCCGAGGUGCGAUGAUGGGGGCCUUAUGGCCCGAUAUCCGGUGAUCCCGGCUGCCGAGAAAAGCUUCGGCGUCAGGCUCAAAGCCGCCCGUACCCCAAACCGACACUGGUGGUCAGGUAGAGAAUACCAAAGCGAUCGAGCGAAUCCUGGUCAAGGAACUCGGCAAAUCACUCCCGUUCCUUCGGUUUAAGGGAGACCCCCGAUGGUGAACACACUUGCUGUGGGAGCUUUUGGGGGUGGCACAGACCAGGGGGUAGCGACUGUUUACCAAAAACACAGGAGCAUGCGAAGGCGCAAGCCGCUGUAUAUGCACUGACGCCUGCCCGGUGCCGGAAGGUUAAGAGGAUCCGUCAGCCUUCGGGUGAAGCGGUGAAUUCAAGCCCCGGUAAACGGCGGUGGUAACUAUAACCAUCCUAAGGUAGCGAAAUUCCUUGUCGGGUAAGUUCCGACCUGCACGAAUGGCGUAACGACUUCCCCACUGUCUCGACCAGGAGCUCGGCGAAAUUGCAGUACGAGUAAAGAUGCUCGUUAAGCGCAGAAGGACGAAAAGACCCCGGGACCUUUACUAUACCUUGGUAUUGGCAUUCGGUGUGGAUUGUGUAGCAUAGGCGGGAGGCCGAGAGGCGCGGUCGCCAGAUCGCGCGGAGCCGUAAGGUGAAAUACCGCUCUGUUCGCAUUGGAUGUCUAACCUCGAACAGUCAUCCUGUUCAGGGACAGUGCCUGGCGGGUAGUUUAACUGGGGCGGUUGCCUCCCAAAGAGUAACGGAGGCGC
rnacentral:rRNA from 1 species